rnacentral:rRNA from 1 species
UACGGAGGGUGCAAGCGUUAUCCGGAUUCACUGGGUUUACAGGGUGCGUCGGCGGUCAAUUAAGUCCGUGGUGAAAUACCUGAGCUUAACUUGGGAACUGCCAUGGAUACUAUUUGUCUUGAAUGUCGUGGAGGUUAGCGGAAUAUGUCAUGUAGCGGUGAAAUGCUUAGAUAUGACAUAGAACACCUAUUGCGAAGGCAGCUAACUACGCGAAUAUUGACGCUGAGGCACGAAAGCGUGGGGAUCAAACAGG